rnacentral:rRNA from 1 species
UACGUAGGGGGCAAGCGUUAUCCGGAUUUACUGGGUGUAAAGGGAGCGUAGACGGUUAUGUAAGUCUGAUGUGAAAACCCGGGGCUCAACCCCGGGACUGCAUUGGAAACUAUGUAACUAGAGUGUCGGAGAGGUAAGUGGAAUUCCUAGUGUAGCGGUGAAAUGCGUAGAUAUUAGGAGGAACACCAGUGGCGAAGGCGGCUUACUGGACGAUCACUGACGUUGAGGCUCGAAAGCGUGGGGAGCAAACAGG